AUAUAAUUCUAAUAUCAUUUACCUAGACUCUAAAUUUAUUUACACAUUUGAGAGUUUUUUUUAAGAAAUUCUGCUUCCAAAACAAGAUAUUAAUGAAGAGUUUGCAAUUCACUGUCUUAUAUGUAAUAUAAAACAACAAAGCUGUUAAUAAUUUUCUACAUAUACAUAUCACCCUAUAUCACGAAUUUUACAUCAAAUUAUUGUACCGCAAAUAUUAUGCAUAUGUUAUAUUAUCUUAAGAGAACUAUUAUAUACUUAGCUAUUUAUCUGCUUGGUACAGGAACAUUUAUAAUAAUUUGUAGAAAUUAGCCCCAAAUUUAAUCUCAUAAUAUAUAUUAUUGGAGUCGUAUUACUGGUUGCCUAACUUUAGAUUAAAUCAACCAUUAUGAAAUAUUCUUAUAUGCCCAAUGCCAUAAAACAUAUAUAUUUGCAUAAAACAAUCCUCAGUUUAUGCCUUAUGCGCCCCUGAAUCACCCUGAAUCCAACGACAUCUCGAAAAAUGAGUAGAAUUAAAAAACUACUGCCCUAGUUGUUGUAAAGUCGAACUUGAUAUUUUCGCAUUCCCUUUUAUAGUAACCCAUUUCAUUCAAAUUUGCCGGUAUAAGUAUAAGCCCCGCCCUAAUACAAAAUGGCCACAGUUUUCAAGCUGUCAAUAAAUUAAUUUCUUAUUGGUCCAUGUGGGCCUUUGACAAUUUGUUUUUGUUUUGACUUUUGACAUCUUCGUAAUGGAAAGGUUGUCGCCGCGCCGGCAGAAUUUUUGUUUUUGUAUUGAUUAUUAAUAGAAAAAGUUUGCUUUCCUCACGCAGUUUGAACAGUUUUCAUUUUAAAGCUUGCUCAGUCUCUCCAAACAGUGAGUAUUUAAUUAUUUUCCUUCCCAGAUACGGCCAUAACGUUAUCCCAAGUAUUCGAUUGAAGGUUUUCUUCUCAUUUUUUUUCUGUUGAUGCAUUACUCUAUAUUUAUGAUCGUAUCUGGUAAUGGUAAUAGGGAUAUUUUUACCAAAGAAAUAAUGGGGUAGGGGUUAUAAUGAGUAAUAACUGGUAAUAACUAUGGUAACUUUUUUCGCUGCUUAUGUAAGUAUACCUACUUUAAUAAUUUUACAAAUAUUUUUUAUUUAACCCCACUAUGUUCUUUCUUUGUCUUUGUAUUUGUUGUUUGUUUCAGAAUAAUUGUUGUGUUAUGUUAUAUCUAUGUCUGUGUUUCAGCUUUGGUUUCAGUCACAAUUUAACUCUAUAUCAUACGUCGACGCCCUAUGGCAGAGACAUAUCAGCAUCAACAUAACUGGCCUUACGUUUACAGGAACGAAGAAAUACUGACUAAAGAACAUGAAAGAUGCUCAGUGUCGAAAGAAAUGAAGAAAGUGUACGGUUUAGCGUUUCAUGUCAUAUUUCCAAAGUUGUAUUUACAUUGUAAACGCCUAUUAAUUUUAAAAAUAUGUACUCAAAAAAUGGAAGCUUAUGGUACAGGGAAAUGGAAGAAUAAGAAGAAUUAGAGGGUGUAGAAUAAGCUAGAGAAUACCACUGCCAAGUCUGAGUAAGACAUGAAACAAUCUGGAUAUUGGAAUGUUCUGUUACAAAUAAUGCUUGGUUUAAUACUACACAUCAGGACACUGUCGCCCAGUGGCCGAAUUAUUAAUUAACUCGAUGACAUCAUUAACUGUCAUCGAUUUACAUAAGUAAAUUUUGCUGAUGGUGCCCCUAUGAAUUGGAUCAAACAGUGACGCUCCAGGACACGACGCGGCCUCCUUUCGAAGAGGAGAUCUGGAUCAUCUCAAACUUGAUGGUCUGCGUAGCAUGCAUAGGUAUCCAUGGGAGUCACCGGCCUCUGGUUUACGAGCUAGGUGUUUUAAUGCUAGAGGCUUCAGCCGGAUACUACCUAGCACCCAAGCUAAGACACUUCUUCAUGCACGUGUUGCGUGGCACCUCGAGGGCGUAGGGGACUUGAUACCAACAUAUUUGAAGAUGAGGAGAGGGGUGAGGCCUGUAAUGAGUCCCAGUGGUAGGUCGUUCGAUGGGAAAGGAGACGAUCUCAGAUAAAGCUGUUUAAUUGGAAUCGAGAGUGACCGGUGAGGCAUUAUAAUCGAAAAGUGUCAAAUCUGCAGAAGGGGACACCCACACCUCGGACGCGACGUGAAGGAUAUUUUGUUCUGCAUCUGCUUGACGUCGAUUUAUGGAUAGAGAUUCGGGAUAGACAGGCUAGCAAACCUCAGCUUAACCUAAAACCAACUAAAAAUAAUUCAAGUUUGUUGCGUGUUUAAAUCAUUGAAGAUUCCAGAUGAAAUAUUGCAAGACGUGUGUGAUUGAUUCUAAAGUUUCUUCGGAUUCCCCCAGGCAUCGUCUCGAAUACCGGGUGACGUGUUACCAACUCUAGGGAAUCAUCUCAGGACCAGGGAGCUGGGUUACUCGCCAUGCCCAAGUGCAGCUUGACUUGAUGUAUUGGUAAAUAAGAUGAUGGAGCAGGAAGAUAAUAAUACAAUAGAAGAGGACUUGGAUAAUAAGAAGAAUAGAAGAGGAAAUAGGAAAUUGAGAUGAUGGGAGAGAUCAAUGAAAAUGUCUUUAAAACAAUGGAGGGAAAAUUAUAAGUAGAAUUGCUGGUGAAUAUUGACAAGUCUGAUAGGGAGGUUUAGCUUUUUGAGAGGACAUGCAGACAAUCUUACGAGUGGUCAGUGCAUUGCUCAUGCUGAGGAAGUACUUGUUUUUAGCUAAAUAUUUCUUCUAUAAAUGAAACACUGCAAUAUGGUCUGUCCUCUGGUCUGUCCUCUCAUACCUUACAAAGUCACAACUGUAAAAAUAGAUUGUUCUAGCUCAUGAAACAAUCUGAAAGUGGCAACGUUCUCUUACAAAUGGAAUAUUACAAUACAAUAUAACACUCGGCUAACCUCCUAUAUGUUGAUGGAACAGCAGCUAGCAGCGUAUUUUAUAAUUAAGGCUGAUUUACACGUAUCCACGGCGUACGCCGGUUUCACUUUGACGCUUGCACUGGCAUGGUAGUGACCACGCCAGUAAUUAGUAUUAACUUUAUUUUUUUAUAUGUAUAUUCAUUUUAUUUUUUUUUAAAUUAUUAAAUUCAGCUAGAGUGCUUAGUAAGUAAUAUCUAUGCUAAUAUACUUUAUUACUACAAAAAAAACUACUUUUAUUCUUGUAUUAUUGCAACUUGAAAUUUUAAAUUUUCGUGUUUAUUUGUAUUAGUUAAUUUUUUUAGCUCAGCACAGUUAUAUAAUUAACAACUGAUAAUUAAAGUAAUUAAAUGCAGUAAUACAUAAAUAGAAUUAGUUUUAUGAAUGUUAUAUGAAUAUGUUACUUGAAUGGUACACAUAAGCUGAUUAUAUUUUAUUUCAAAGUAUCACUUUAUAAGGAUAAUUGUUCUCCAUAUGCUGGCAUUUCAUAAAAUUUUUAUAUUCUACUCUUAAAAAUUUUACUCAUCGUUCUUGUUUAGUUUAAUCAUAGAUUGUCAUCAUUUGAAGACUUGAAGUAAAUAAUGUUCUAAGUGCCAAAAAAUCAGUUUGUCAUGAUAAGUGCCACAACCAUAUACAUAUAUAUAUAUAUAUAUAUAUAUAUAUAUAUAUAUAUAUAUAUAUAUAUAUAUAUAUAUAUAUAUAUAUAUAUAUAUAUAUAUAUAUAUAUAUAAAGCGCUAAGUAUUGAGGCUAAGAGGCUAUCAAAUUGUAUUGAAAAAAAUUCCCGACAAAGAAACCGCCCGUUCUUAUGGGUUAUAUAACAAAAAAUGUUCGAAAUAAUGAUUUUGGCACUUAAAACAUCAUUUACUUCAUUUCAUGUAUUCCUAAAUGAGUUUAGUUACUUUUAAAAAUCUUUUUAUAUAAUUAUUAUCUAUACAUCAGUGGCAACGAGUAACAGCUCUAAGCAAGUUUUUAUUAUCCAUAUUCAUACAUUGCUGAAAAAUUUAAUUAAGAAAAGUAAUGCUACAAGUUAAUCCUAAGCUAAAAGCCUAGGAUUAAUUUGUAGCAUAGAAUAGUUAUUUUAAUUAAAUUUCUUAAUGAUGCUAAUAUAAUUUAUAUAUAAUAUACUACAAAUAAUGAUAUCUUCUGUUUCUAAGUUACUGUAAUUUUUAACAGCUGAUAUUUUUAGACUAAUAUUUUACAUUUAAUCUAUUAAUUAUAAAGUGAUUAAUAUAAAUAGAAAUAGUAUUUUGAAGCAUAUUAUAUAAAUGGAACCGACAAAUAUAGUUCAAUAUAUUAUAUAUUUAUGUU